UUCGAUAAUUCAAAAUUUAGUGUUUCUUUGAUUGAGAGGUAUGUAGUAAUAUCGUUUAUCGUUUUUUUUUGUCAUUUAUUUUUUUAUUUUUCGGUAAACUCCUAUUCGAUAUAAAUUAAGAUUUUUGAAGCAAAAAUCAGUUAGGAUUUUUCUUGAAAUAACAAGAGGGUUGGAAUUUUUGCUUCUGUCACCCUGCUACAAAUCGAAGAUGGCAAUAGUGUCG
rnacentral:lncRNA from 1 species